UGAUCAUCUAGGUGUCAGCUGCCUUCUUC
rnacentral:piRNA from 1 species